rfam:Hordeum vulgare subsp. vulgare, WGS project CAJW01000000 data, contig: morex_contig_55854
AAGCUACUCCCUCCAUCCCAAUUUUUUUUCCUUAGAUUUGUCUAGAAAUGAUUGUAUCAAAAUACUAAAACAUGACUAGAUACAUUCAUAUUUAGAAAAAUGUAAGACGAGAAUUUUGGGACGGAGGGAGUAUUAA